rnacentral:rRNA from 1 species
ACGGAGGGGGCUAGCGUUGUUCGGAAUUACUGGGCGUAAAGCGCACGUAGGCGGCUUGGAAAGUCAGAGGUGAAAGCCCAGGGCUCAACCCUGGAAUUGCCUUUGAAACUAUCAAGCUAGAGUUCGGGAGAGGUGAGUGGAAUUCCGAGUGUAGAGGUGAAAUUCGUAGAUAUUCGGAGGAACACCAGAGGCGAAGGCGACUCACUGGACCGAUACUGACGCUGAGGUGCGAAAGCGUGGGGAGCAAACAGG